AAGAGCUCAUGGAUUUGUGUGAACUCAACCAUUUGUUAGAUGAACUAGGUCCACGAUAUAAAGAUUGGUCAGGUCGAGAACCGUUGCCUGUUGAUGCGGACUUGCUUCCACCUGUUGUUCCUGGGUAUCAACUCCCAUUCAGACGCCUUCCUUAUGGGGUAAGACAAUGUUUGAAGGAUCGUGAAAUGACUACUUUCCGUAGACUUGCGAGGUCAAUGCCUCCUCAUUUUGCCUUAGGUAAGUGAAUGUAUGAGAUUGUCUUUGUAUCACUAAAUGUUUCACCAUAACUUUUUCUCUUGAUGGAUUCUGUUCCUUUAUUGUUAUAGGAAGAAAUAGGGAACUGCAAGGUUUGGCACAGGCUAUUGUGAAGUUAUGGGAAAGAACUGCAAUUGCUAAGAUAGCCGUUAAACGUGGAGUAGAAAAUACACGCAAUGAAAGAAUGGCUGAAGAGCUUAAGGUGAGAGAUUACACAUAUUGUUGCAUCUUGAAAUGUAAAUCUAAUUAUUUUCUGACAACUUAGUUUUCUUAUGCCUUCAGGCUACCAUCCUUGAUUACUUUCUAUUAUAUCAAGCUAUUUGCAACUUGCCAUUCUUUGGUUUUCCUUUGGAUGGUGCUUCAUUAGAUACUUGUUGCUUAUUGCACAUGCAUUUUGUACAUGUAGCGAUUGACAGGGGGGACAUUGCUUUCCAGAAACAAGGAAUUUAUUGUAUUUUACAGAGGCAAUGAUUUCUUGCCACCUGUUGUAACAAAUACAUUGAAAGAGAUGCAAAAGUCGAGAAAUCUUCGGCAGGAGGAGGAAGAGGAAGCACGAGGGAGGGCCCUAGCCUUGGUGGGAUCUAAUGUAAAAGCUUCUACACUUCCUUUGGUUGCCGGCACUCUCGCAGAAACCACUGCUGCAACCUCUCGCUGGGGGCACCAACCAAGCCCCGAUGAAGUGGAGGAAAUGAAGAGAAAUUCAGCAUUGACUCAACAGGCUUCACUAGUCAGACAUCUUGAGAAGAAACUAGCUCAUGUAAGUUACAGAUGCAGUAAGUAAGAAGUGAUAACAAGAUUCUCAAACAUUUUAAAACUGUGACAUACUUUCUGAUUUAUGCCGUCUUUCUAACUUUGCGGUCCUAGGCUAAAGGGAAGUUGACAAAGGCCAAUAAAGCUUUAGCUAAAGUGCAGGAGCAUCUUGAUCCCACAGAUCUCCCGACUGAUUUGGAAACGUUGAGUGAAGAGGAGAGAAUUUUAUUCCGUAAGAUUGGUCUGAGUAUGAAACCCUACUUGCUUUUGGGUAAGAAUGGGAACUUCAAUCCUGCUUUACUGUUUCUGACUAGAAGAAUCAAAUAUUAAUAUGAUUUUUCUUUUUUAGGAAAACGAGGAGUUUAUGAUGGUACAAUAGAAAACAUGCACCUCCAUUGGAAAUACCGAGAGUUGGUAAAGAUACUUGUGAAAAGAGAAAGUUUGGCCCAAGUGAAGCAUAUUGCAAUUUCAUUGGAGGCUGAGAGUGGUGGGGUGCUAGUAUCUUUAGAUAAAACUACUAAAGGCUAUGCUAUUAUAAUCUAUCGAGGAAAAAACUACUUGCGUCCUCUUGAAGUGAGGCCAAAGAAUUUAUUGACAAAAAGGCAGGCAUUAGCUCGAUCAGUUGAACUUCAGAGAUGUGAGGUAACAUCGUAUUUAACUCUCAACAAUUUACAGAUUCUUCUCCAAACAAUUUUGUUCUUCCAUCUAAUUCUCUUCCUGCAUUUUCUAGGCACUGAAGCAUCACAUCUCUUACUUACUGGAAAAAAUCGAGCUAAUGAAAUCAGAGCUGGUAAUUCUUUUUACUUUUAGAUAUAUAUGUAAAUACGUUCUGAUGUUCAACAAGAGAUGACUUGAUAAAGUUUACCGUCAUUAGAAUAUGUUGUUUUGAUCCAGGAAGAAAUGAAAGCUGGGAAUGAGGUUGGUGCCGUAAAUACCCCGUACUCAAGGUUGAAUGAAGCUCUACUUUCUGAUGAGGAUAUUGAAGAGGUAAUAAAUGAUCUGCUAAACUUAUACAUGCUGGAAGAUGAAGAACAUGCAUUUCAUUUUCUUCUACCUUGUUAUGAGCAAUUAUACACAUUUGAAGUUGCAACCCUCCCCUAGGCCUGAUUCCCAGCUAAUGAAUAGUGCCAACCCUUAAAUAAUUCUCAUCUCUUGAUGAUCAUUGAUAAUCUAUUAUUUUGUUCUUCCUCUAUGAUAUCACAACUGGAUUUAGUGAAUGAAUUCUGUACUUGAAACCUGUGUUACAAAGAUUCAAAGACCAAGUGUAGGAAAGCUUCGAGUUCUAUAGCUGACACCAGCUAUUAUGAGGUUGCAUCUCAGUUCGAGUUGCAUAGCUUGGCAUGGUGUGCUUUGCUGUACUGAUUCUGAUGGCAAAUUUAUUUGUACUCGAACCAGGAAGACUGGGAAGAUGAGUAUAUGGAAUCAUAUGGCAGCGGCAAUGAUAAUGAUGAUGAUGAUGAUCAGCAAAAGGAAAGACCAGUUUAGUAGUUGCUCGACCAGAUCACAGCCUGGAGUACCAGCUACUGCAGAUUUUUGAAUAAAGGCAAAUGCUUUAACAUUCCAGCUUCUAAGCCAGGGAAAGAUCAUAUAUAGAAAUGGAUAUCAUUGGAUGUUGCAUUCAAAUUAUAUGGUUAUUUUCCUUAUUUGCAGCAAAUUUUAGAAGGUUGUAGGCGCUUCUAGUUAUAUUAUAAAUACAAUUAAUGAUCCAACAGAAGUUUUAUUCUAAAAUCCCAUUUAUUCUAGCAGACAAUUUGAGAGGGAAUAGAAAGGAAAACAACAGUGUUCAAUGAACCAUAAGUACAUCAAGUCACUUACAAGAUCUCUGUAAUUUAUUAAAAAGAAAAUAAACUACAUAGCAUUGUCUUUUAAGAACGAAUGGCAAUAAACAUUAUACCAACUGGAAACUCAAGCUUCCAUGGAACUUAGUCAAACUAGUAAGAGUGAGCGAAAUCCAGCUUGGCAUGGCCGUUUAACAUAUCAGUAGAUAACAGGGAUCAAUUACAGCUGCAGGGGCUUACAUUGCUGGAAUAUUUCAGCAGUCACCUGUAUCUCAUUUGUUGGUGAAGAAAAUUUUAGAUUUGUGUUUACAGCCUCUACUUGGAAGAAACCUUGUCUUGCUCUAAGGCUAACUUUAUAAAUUUCACAACAGAAGAUGCCAACUCAGUUUGAUGCGAGGUGUACCCAUGAUUUGCUCCUUCUAUAAUGUGUAAUUGGUGAUUAGGUAUAACCUUGGCAAACUCCAAAGCAUCUUCAACAGAAAUUAUCUCAUCAGCAGAUCCAUGGACCGUCAACACCCUGUAAGCACAAAUUACAUAUACUAGUAUUGACGUUCAUUUGACAUUGCCAUCUAAAUCAGCUCAAUGAAUCAGUGAAGAAUCAAUGAUUUCGAAACAACAAAAACUAAUAGGCUCUAGUCUAGAUUCAAAAUCUUACCGACAUUCUUUAUCAAUCUUGAGACAAGCUUCAUGCAUGUCUGUUCUUAUCCAUCAAAGCUUCCUCAGUCACACGGUAUUCAAUGCCUCCUACAUAAAUAAAAUGUAAUUAAAAUUAGAAAUGUUUCCAAUCAAGUACAUAAACAAAUAUUGAACAAGACUAAAUGUUAACCCUUUACAUUCCACAAGGAAUGUUUUUAUUCCCAGGAAAUUGUUAAGAUAGAACAUUUUUAAGGCAAAAUUUCUACUUCUCUUUCAAGUUCCAAAUGCCAAAAGCUAUAAGAGCACCGAAAGCAGCUGUCUUUAUCACUGAUUAUGUAGCCAUAAUUCUAUUUGGAUACUUUUAAGUAACACUUGAACUGGACAGAAAAUCCAGUCAGGACUGCUGAUUUGCUUAACUUAACAAACAACAAAUAGAUCCUUGAUGGACCAUACACAGACGUGAAGAACACAAACUCAGGAAAUCAUACACAUCAAGGAAGCUAAAUAAAUAACUACCCGUCUUAUUCUUAACAUCAAUGUGGCCAUCUUUCUUAAUUAUUUCCAUAAAGUCUUCUCCCAAGCGUUCUGCAAUGCCCCUCUUCAAGUCGUAGCGGCCAGAAACGUUUACAACUAUACGUAUAUCUUGAUACUUAGAAGCAUAAAGAAGCACCACAUUUCCCCCUGCAUUACAUUAUUUUAGCAGUAUAACACUUGUUGGAGAACUUAUUAGACAAAUGAAAAUCACAGCUGGAAAAAACUAAUUGACAGACUUCAUUAGGAUAUCUUGAUGCUUCGAAGCAUAAAGAAGCACCAAAAUUCCCCCCUGGAUUACAUUAUUCCAGUGAUAUAACACUUAAACAGUAAUGUUAGCUUGGUUACAUUACUUAUUCCGUGUAUUAAUGAUCAAAACAUUAUAAGAAAAAAGGAUAUUGCUAAGAUCCAUCCUGAAAAUAACUCAGUGAUUAGAAUGUAAGUUAAGAUAUAGUCUUCAACAACUUAGUUUCUUCUUAGAGAACUUACAAUUUCUACAGUGCAGAGCAAAACCAUUCUCUAUUUUAACUAGUUCAGAAAAUUUCGAGUAAGAAACACUGGGAUACUCACCUUUACUAUGCCCAAGAAUUGCACUUACGACACGACUUUCCCCUGAGAAGUGUUGAAUUACAGCGUGUAAAUCAUCAGCUUCUCGGUAAUAGUUACCAUACUGAAAUGAACCUUCACUUUCUCUGAAAAAAAGAUCCCAAAAUAAGUCACAACUAUGAAACAAAGUGAACAAAACACACUCUCCUGCAGCAGCAAUAGACAUAGAAAGUAAGAACUAUGCUGCAUAAUACAUAUUUGCCAAUCCAAGAAAAAUCAUCUCUUAAAAUCUCUACAUAUUUUAACUUUGUUGCUCCUACUCUUCUACCGUGACCAACACUCGUACCCGACCCUUGAAUGUGGAGAUAAUACCAAGAACCCUCCAACUACAUUAAAGAAAAACUUAGAAAAAUCUAACCAUACCCGUGUUGGACAUAUACAAUGUCCGACACUCGCACCAGAGUCCGAGUAACAUUAGAUUUUAAUCAACUCACCCGUUUCCAGCAAAAUCGAAACGGAAGACACUGAUUCCUUCUGUUUCUAAAGCAGCGGCAAGGUUCGUCAUAGUAUUGUAAUCCUGAAGUAGAAUUAAUCUAAGUGAGCUGCUUUCCAUAAAUUAUUACUAUUCCUCCAUGAACAAACAUUUUCACCAAAUAUAUUUGCUACUGAAAGCAAGGUGAAAGAGAUGAAAUGACCCAACUGAACUUUCUGGAUCUGAAACCAUGGCAUAAGAUUACAAGCUCUUUAUACUCUGUUUCAUGCAAUAAUCCCACCAGUUUUUCACCAUGCUUGUUUGGAAUUAUCAUUCUCUGCUGCUCAAUCACUAAAAUUUAGAAAAAAAAAAAGGUCCUUUUUUUUUAUUUUCAAAGUUCUUUACAUUAAAAACAAAAUGGAACCAUAAUAAAGUUAUAAAAGAAAGGGAAUACUAAUAAUUUGGGACCUGGGUUUUGGGUAGAAUGAGAGUGAGCCAUCGUCGAGAUUGUGGAGUUUGGUUUGGAGAUACGUCGACAGGAGGAAGAUAUGAAUGGUGUUCGUACCUGUGGAAAAGGAGAUUUAGGAUAAGUUCAUAAAUUUGAGAGCAGUGUCAAUGAAUCGAAGUUAAGGGAAAUGGUGGCCAUUUCUUUGUACCUCUGGUUGGCCUCUUUCUUCUGUCGUGCUUAAUAAGGCAAGUCCUGUAAAUGGAUUGGGAUAUGGGAAAGGUUUCAGAUUGAAUCCGUGGUGCCAUGAGUUUUAAUUAGACCUACGUUGAGCCAUCCGGCCCGGCUCCAACCCUCGUUCAAAAUAUAAUAAGAUUUGAGUAAAAUAUAGGUUCAAAAAAUGAGUUUCGACGAAAGAAAUAAAAUUUAUUUAAAAAAUAGGUCAGGCCUCGAAUAAGAUAUCGGGCUUGACCCAGCUCGGUCCAAAUUUAUUAAAUGACAAAAUAAAAUUACUUUUUUUUAUAAUGUUAUUUUUUUGUUGUUUUCUCCUUAUUUUACUACCAUUGUACUAUUAUAUUACUACUAUUUCGUUGUUAUUAUUUGAAUAUUAUAUAAAACUUAUUUUAUUAUUAAUUUUGUUAUUAUUUUAGAGGCAUUUGCUUGUUAAGUUAUAUUUAUGUUAAUGUUAUUUAAGUAUACAUAUUUUUUAAAUUGUUGGGAAAUAUUUAUUUUAAUGUUUUUAGUAUUUUUGAUGUAUUAUAUAUUUUAAAAUUAUAUAAAAAUAAUAUAAAAAUUAAUAUGGGUGGGUCGGGGCAGGCCCGGGUUUUAGCAUUUUUUAUCUAGGUUGGGCUUGGGAAAAAUUUUAGGCCCACUUUUUGAGGCUAGGCCGGGCAAAUGAGCCUGAAUUUUUAGUUGAGCCCUGCCCGGCCUGGCCCAUGCACACCUCUAAUUUUAAUCUAUUCUAUUCCAUUAAAUAAAUUAUUAAAAAAAUAGUUAAAAUUAGCUUCAAUCAUCGGGUUCAAUUGUGUUUUUUUUUUCAGUUUAAUUGAUAGGUACUAAUUCUCGAAUCAAUUGGUUUAAUGCCUUCUCUGUAUCAAUACUCAACUAGUUCCCAAUCUAAUUAUUUUGAUAAACUAAUUUGAUUUAAUUGACCAGUCCAAUUCAUUUUAAACAACCUUAACUAUUACAUGGUAGUGAAAUGUUAAAAGGGAAUAUCAAUUAAAAAAAUGUCAAAUUUUAGUUUUGAUUCCUCUACUACAUUAAAAUAUAAAAUUUAAUCUUUGUACCUUUAUUUUUAUUAUGUCAUUAAGUCACUAUCUGUUUUGAUUAAAAUGCUUACAUGAAAUUUUUUAAAUAUCCCUUCUAAUGCUGGAAAGGACAGUUUUAAUAAAAAUUCAACGUCUAACAUUUUUACUUUUUAGUUAAUGAUUUUAAUUUUUUUUUGAAAAAUUCUACUGGAAUAAAUAAAAGUUGAAAAAGAAUCUAAAUACAAAUUUGUCCUGAGAAAACAAGAGACAACAGUAAGCAAGCCUUCAUCAGUUUAGCCUACCUAAAAUCUAUACAAAAUAAAAUAGAGAAAAUAAAUGAAAUUUAAAUUGCUUCCAGCCGAACGGUCCAGUUGGUCCUCAUAAAUGAUUCUGACUUUUCCUCUGCCCAAGGCCACUGAAAAGUAAAAGCAAGAUCUCCUCAAAUCUUUUCCUUAUCAAUUUGCUUUUCAAUCGACACCAUUUCCUCCAUUUCAAAGCGUCACACCAUAAUGCCAAAAGCUAAGGUCUUUUCCAUUUUCUUUUACUCUGAAGAACCCAGACGAUUUUGCUCCGAUUCUCCUCUGGUUUAUCUUAAAGUCCCUCCCCCCAGGUACCGUUCCUCUCCCUUCUUUAGUGUUUCUUUUGCAAGUCUGUGGGCUUCUGUGUUUUUUAACCUUGGAAUGAAAGGGAAUCUGAUUUCUUGAUAGUACUCCUUUAGGCUUUGGAUGUCAUUGAUGAUUGCCCCUAUUUCUGAUCUGUCUCGAUUUGCAUUUUGACAUUUUGUAAUCACUGUUUUUGAGUCUCCGAUUAUAUCUAAAGUAUGAAAGCCCAACUGAAUCCCCAACCUUAUUGCUUGAAAACCUGCAUAUGCUUCCGCCGCGAAUGGAGAUGCAACAUUUUCAUGAAGGGUCGACUUUGCUGCAACGAUCCUACCCUCCUCAUUUCUAACAACGAUCCUACAGAUCUGGAGUUCUGUAAGUCGAAAGUCGCAUCGAAAAAGAUGGCCUUUUUCACCCUUUAUAGACUUUGUCUAGACCUCACACUGGUUUCCACGUUUAGUACCCUAUCUUUAAUCCCUUCCAAUUCCAAAAUGUAGCUUUUUACUUGUUUGGAUAUAUCCUAACUAGUACUUGAUCUGCUUUCGUAUAAUAACUUGUUUCUGUUUGUCCAGAUAAGCCAGAGCCCGCAACAAAAACCCCUGCACUGUUCAUUUGUCCAUUGGCUGAAAACCCAGGUAAGCCAACUCUAAAUAUCUAAAUGACUAUUGUUGAGUACCCAUGAAAAAUUUAAGUGACUCCAUAUUUCCUUUGUUGUAGGGCAUAGAUGGAAAACGUGGAUACUAUCUUCUCAUUCCUGACCGUAUCUCAAACACCGAUCCUCAGCCAUCACUCUUCGUAGCUUCAGAUUGAAGAAAGUGGGAAUGUAAUUCCACGCUAUUUUCCAUACUGUAAUCUUGAUUUUUGAGGGCAUAUGUAAAUUCCAUAAUUUUCUAUAAAAAAUUUUAGUAUCGGUCUGUAAAUAAACACUAGGAUCUAUUGUAGCCUCUUGUAAUAGUUUAUAGGCACUCCUUACUGAAAAAUCUCAUUUUGCCUCCCCUCUCCAUACUUGGAUGUCUUCAUGGAUUGACUUUGAAAGCGAGAUCUGCAGUAUUUUCCUAGCAAUAUCCAUGUUAAAGGUACGGACAAUCAAGUCUCUGUUCCAUGUUCUGCUUUAUUCAUUGAUUAAGUCGGACACUAGUCUAAUAUUUUCAAUGUUGCUGUUGUUCUGUAAUUUGUCUGCAUUCAUUCCCAGCACCCAGAGAUCAUUCCAUACUGAAAUGUGGUCUCAUUUACCAACCCUCCAGCAUAAUCCAUCUGUAAAAAGUUUUUUUGUUAACCAAAUACUCCUCCAGGUAAGUGAAGGUAGGUUACUUAAAGGAACAUUUAAGAAAUUUGUUUUUGGAAAAUAUUUAGCUUUUAAAACUCGGGCUAACAAAGAACUCAGAUAAUUAAUAAGACGCCAACCCUGUUUUGCCAAUAAAGCUAUGUUGAAUUUAUCUAGACUUCUAAAACCUAGACCACCCAAUUCUUUUGCAAUGUAAAUGUCCUUCCAAGCACACUUAUGAAUUCCUUUUUUCCCCUUAUUUUUCUGCCACCAAAAAUUUGCAAUAAAAAUUUGCAAUAAUACCCUCUAAUUCCUUGCAAAAAGAUUUAGGGAGUAAAAAAUACAUCAUUGAGUAGGUUGGUAUAGAUUGUAGAACAACUUUGAUGAAAACCUCUUUACCUCCUUGUGAGAGAUAUCUGAUACUCCAAUUGUCAAUUCGUUGCUUAAAUUUAUCCUUCAGCAUCCGGAACGCUGCCUUCUUCCUUCUUCUUACCAGGCUAGGUAGCCCUAGAUAUCUUUCCACAUCAUCUAAACUUCGCACUCCAAGAACUCGAGUAAUUGUUCUUCUUUCUCCUUCCCUGUGUAUUGUUGCUGAAAAAAAUUAUGGAUUUUGAAUAGUUAACUUUCUGACCCGAACAAAUUUCAUAUUCACGGAGGAUCUGUUUUAAAUGAAUUGAACUCCUCUCAUUAGCUUCCCCAAACAGUAUGCAAUUAUCCGCAAAAAGUAAAUGUGAAACUUGCGGCCCGCUUCUACUUGCUUUAACACCUCUUACUUUGUUCUCCUGCAUACCUAAUUUCAUAAGGCUAGAGAGACCUUCUCCACAGAACAAGAAUAAGAACGGACUCAAUGGGUCCCCUUGUCGUAAUCCUCUAGAAUGAGAGAAAGAUUCUCCAUUAUGUCCAUUUAGAACCACUGAGUAUGAAACUGUAGUUACACACUUUAAUAGUAGGGCCACCCACUCUGAAUCAAACCCCAUUUUCUUUAUUAUUUCCUCCACAAAAUUCCAUUCUACCCUAUCAUAUGCCUUGCUCAUAUCCAACUUGACCGCCAUAAAUCCUUUAUUCCCUAACCUCUUCUGUUUCAACGUAUGGAUUAAUUCAUAAGCCAGCAACACGUUAUCCGAGAUCAAUCUCUUAGGCACGAAAGCACUUUGUGCAGGAUCAAUGCAUUUGUCUAACACUUUCCGAAUACGAUUGGCUAUAACUUUAGCCAUUAAUUUGUAGAUUACAUUACACAAACUAAUAGGCCUAAAAUGCGAUAUACCUACUGGAUUUGAAAUUUUCAGAAUUAAAACAAUAUUUUUUUAUUGACUGGGCCUAUCUCCAUCCUUCCAUUCAGUUGAUCAAGGCAAAAAGUAGUGACCUCCUCUCCGAUGAUUGCCCAACACUUCUGAUGGAAUAACACUGGAAAUCCAUCUUCCCCUAGUGCCUUAGUGGGCUCUAAUUCUGCCAAAGCCUGCUGAAUCUCCUCCUUUGUGUAUUUCUCUUUUAGCAUUAAGUUAUCUUCGUCCGAAAUACAUCGAGAAACCUCAGAUAAAACAUGCUCAUAAUUUGCAAAUCUGCCAGCGGAGAAUAACUGUUGGAAAAAUGAUCUAGCAAUCAGUUUCAUUUCCUUUAGUUCGACCAUCUCUCUCCCAUCAUCAUUCUGCAUUUUUCGAAUCAGGUUCCUCUAACAUUUUUGUGUUGCUUGUUUGUGGAAAAAGGCUGUAUUUUUAUCCCCAAGUUUCAACCAGUUAACCUUCGCUCUUUGUUCCCAAUAGCACUCAUCCUUUUCGAUCUCAAAGUUAAGUUGGAUUUUUGUGUCAAUCAGAUCGGCGAGAUUUUCUUCAUCUCUUUCAGCUUCUAGUAGUGGAGCCAAUUUUAAUGAUAAGGACUUCUUCAUUCCUUUUCUAGAAAACCGAAUUUGACUAGCCCAUCGCUCCAGCCCCCUUUUCAUACUGUCCAGCUUGCUUAAAAACUCACAUUCGGAAUGCUUCCAUAUGUCUUUAACUUUAUUUAAGAACGAGUCCUCCAGUACCCACCACGCUUCAAAUUUGAAACUUUUUUGUAUUCUCUCUCUGUACUCCUUCUUUGUAUUAACCAUUAAUGGGCAAUGGUCAGAAAACAUAUGUGGAAGAUGUUAAAGCUGAAAUUCUGGAAAUAAGUGCAACCAAUCUUCAGUCGCCACACCUCUAUCUAACCGCUCUUGAAUACUAGUUUCAGGUAAAUUCCCCUUUUCCCACAUAAACCAGUUUCCAAUAAACCCCAUAUAAGAUAAGUUGCAUUCCUCCAAAGUCUUACAAAAAUCUUGCAUUCGUCCUUCCUCUCGCACUAGACCACCUUUUUUUUCAAAACUAUACAUAAUUUCGUUAAAGUCUCCGCAAACCAUCCAUGGAAACUCCCUAACCGUACCCAAGUGCCGUAGUAGAUUCCAUGCCUCAGCUCUAUCAUGUGAAUAUGGAGACAAAACCUCUAAACCUCUAUUUGUAUCCUUCAUAAUCUUCAUCAAUGAUCACAUCAAUAUGUCGUUUUGAAAAACUUUUAAGCUGAACAUUUUUAUCAUCGUGCCAAGCCAUACACAGCCUAACUCUAGAACCAUCUGAACUCACAUCAAUACCAUUUAAAAACCCACAACUCCUUCGAAUUCUUUCCAUUUGACUACUGCUUAUUUUUGUCUCCAUGAAAAAGACUACUUGGGGAUUAUAUAACUUCAGUAUGUACCGAAGUCUCCGAAUUGUCCGUAGACUCCCCAAUCCACGGAUAUUCCAGCUUAAGAUUUUCAUUGCGCUCGGUCGGCUUGCCACUUGGCAGCCGCCGAUGAUUGAUGACUAACCUCCAUUGUCCUCCUACUCCUUACCACUAAAGUGUUCGUCUCCUCUUUGGCCAAGGCCACCUCAAUCUCCCUUCUGUUUUUCUUUUUUCGCUCCUCACCAAUAAGCACUUCAUCUUCAAGAUUAUGUUCCAUUAAUCUAUUCUUCAGAUUCCCACUCCAAUUCCCAUUUUCUUCCCAUGUUUGAGAUCCCCUCCUUACCAGAUUUAUCCCCAAUAUUGGAUCUAUAUUUUCACUAUUAUCCCUAUUUUUCACUAAAUCCCUUGAAUUAUUCCCCAUAAAUUGCCUUUUCCCAUUAUUUCCUCGCCCCUGUCCCUCUCAUUCUUCUCGCAACCAUACACUGGUCAUCAUUUGGGCUUGAUGAGACUGUGCCCUAAGAGUUAAGUCCCAUCCCAUCUCUUUAGUUUCCACUCCUUCCAUCAUCCUUUCUUCACAAAAGGAAUCACUGUGGCCCAGACGACCACAAUAAAAGCAAAAAAGUGAUAGCCUUUCAUAUUUAAACCAAACAUAUGAACACUUAGCACAUUAUCUGCUUUUUCCUUUUCAAAGGGCGCCUUAUAUCAAUUUUGACCCUUAUUCUCAUGAAAUUUCUACUUUCUUUUCCCAGACUUGAGCCAUCAUAUUCCAUGAACUCUCCUAUAAAAUUUCCCAUUUGAAUUGCCAGAUUUUCUGAGACAAAACCUAUUGGAACAUCAUAUAGUUAAACCCACAAAGGUGAGUAGAUUAAUGGGAUAUUCAAAGGAUCCUCCCCCCUUUGUAACUUAUGAAGAAUCAGUAAGUGAUUGUUAAAAGUCCAAGGUGAAGCUUUAAUAACCCUUUCAAGAUCCAUUAUACGAAAAAAUUGAAAUAAAUACCUUUUUCCCCCAGAUCUCUAAUCUGCACUCCUCUUAUGGGGUGCCACAAAUUUGCCAUUGUACUCCUCAUUGCCGGAAAAUGAACAAUACUUGUCGUUAAAAAACAUCCCACCAAUUGCAAAACUUUCGUUUCUCUAUCCGUGUCUACUUCAGUUUGAACUUGAAGAAUUUCGUCUUCCUCCUCCUCCAGAGAUAAUCUCGCAAAUUUCGUCUCCAUACUAAACUAGUCCCUUCAAUUGCCGGAGUAAGAGAUUUGAAUAGCAAAUUGCCGUCACAUCAAUACCAGAAAAACAAAAACAAGAAAACCCUAAAAAACUACAAGAGAUCGCAGAUAGAGGCGUGUUAAAUUAGCAGACUUUAUUGUGUGUUAAUGAUUUUAAUUAUUUGGAUUAACUAAUGACUUUAUAAAAGUAGAAAAUAAUUAUGUUAAAUUAAAAUAUAACAACUAAAUCUUAUAAUAGAGAGACCAAAACCUUAAAUUUUUUUAAACCUCAAAUUUUAACUUAUUGGCUAGAUGUUCACUUUUCCUAAAAAUAGUUUGGGUUUGAAAAUUCAUUGUACCAAAAAAAAUCAUAAUUUGACCAUUUAAUUGGUUUAAAGUUAAUUUAAAUUGUAAAAAUCUCGAUUUACUCUCUCAUCAACUUGAGGUUCAUUCCAUAAUGUAACAUUAAUCGAAAAGAUAAAAAUGCUCAUUCCAUAAUGUAUCGAAGUUCCCAUUUGUUGCUUAGAAAAAAGCAAAACAUUAAUUAUUCAGUCUAAAAUGCUAACCCUUAAACUAACCUUAAAUUGUCUUGAAAACAUGUUCAAACUACUGUCUAGCCAAGAUAAAAACAUGAUGUCCAACAAACAAUUCAAAAGAAUAUUUAAACAUAGAUAAAGCUUAACAACAAUGACAACUAAUGUCCCAACAUAAACAUCCAAAUUAAAAAAUGAAAUGUUAUCAUAUAUUUUUAAAUACCAAUUUAUGUAAAAUUAAUGUACAAAUAGUAAGGCGUCAUUUAAUUGGUUUAAAUAAUAUUUUAGCAUUCAAAUUAAGAAAUGGAGUAUUAUUCGAUGUCUUUUUUUAAAAAAAAUUUGAGAAAUGAAAUUAAAUAAUUCGACAUGCAUUUUAUUUAUUUAUCUACUUAUAAAUUAAGUAUGUAAUAGUUUUUAUUUUACACAAAUAAGUUUCAUAAUAAUCUAUUAGUAAUUCUAUUAUAUACGUAUGCAUGUGGGCAUCAUGAAUUUAGAAUAUAUGUGUAUUUAGAAAUAACAUUGUAAAUAUAUAAUUUGAAAUUGAAAAUAAUAACAAUUAUCGAGGUAAGUUUUAAGAGUAAUGAUUCGAGCAGUGAUCAUUGCAUUUGGCAUUGUGUAAGUACCAUAACUUACCUUAUUUGUUAGUAUGUCUUACCGAAAUAUCUUGAUUAUUUGCUGACAUCUUUUUGAAAAUAUGUUAUUGAAUUAUGUCUUUCCGAUAUCAAAAAACUAGAGGGUUGGUUAUAUGGAGAUCAGGUGGCCCGGUGGAGUUAUAAGGGGUAUAGCCUACAAGCUUCAAUGUGUUCAAUCGUAUUCUGGGCAGGAUCAGGCUGAUACAAGUGCUUCGGAUGUUAUAACUACUAACACAGAAAAUAUGGUAGUUAAGGACUCUGUUAGGACUGAGGAGUCCUUCAUGCCUUCUUCUUCGGAAUAUUUGAAGGAUCUAUCUAAAGAAAAGCUCAUGGAUUUGUGUGAACUCGAACAUUUGUUAGAUGAGCUAGGUCCACGAUAUAAAGAUUUCUCACGUCGAGAACCGUUGGCUGUUGAUGCGGACUUGCUUCCACAUGUUUUUCUUGGGUAUCAACCCCCAAUCACACGCCUUCCUUAUGGGGUAAGACAUUGUUUGAAGGAUCAUGAAAUGACUACUUUCCGUAGACUUG
rnacentral:lncRNA from 1 species